UCCCACUAUCGGUGGAACGUUUUACUGUUUGCAGCCACGUCAGGUGACGCGUGAACAACAGUCAACAGUCGCCACCGGGGGAUGAGAGGAUGGGAAGAGGUCGGGCUUGUGUGAGGUCACGGGAUGGGCAACUGGCGGCCAGCCACUCCCCCCAGAAGCACUGAUGAAAAAUGGUGAACCCUCCAGCAUUGAACUUGUCCAUCCCUACCCUACAUCUUCAGAGAUGUGCCUGUAAAAUGGUCAAUGGAUUGCACUUAUGUAGCACUUUGUCUUCGCCAACGGGUGCCCAAAGUGCUGAACAAAGUCUCACAUCCAGACUUAAAUACAUCAAUGGAUGGCUACUGCCAUGCAAGGCGCUGCCAAGCCGACAGCCAGCAAACCAGGGUUCAGUGUCAUGCUAAUGGAUGCUUUGGCAGUGGAGAGUCAGAGACAGAUUCAAACCGGCGAGCCAUCAGUGGACUCUAUGUACUCCGGUAUCCUCCCACAUUCCAAAAACAUGCAUGUGUGCAAAGAAACUGGGGUGUUCAAGUUCAUCGAGUUCCUGUCAAUCUUGGCAAGCGCAUCAACAUUGGCAUCACACAGAAAUGUUCCAUUUCAGU